GUUUUACUCCCUCCGUCUCGAAUUACUUGUCACAGAUAUGUAUGUAUCUAGAUGUAUUUUAGUUUUGGAACAUCCAUUUCUGUGACGAGUAAUUUGGGACGGAGGGGGUAUUUA
rnacentral:pre_miRNA from 1 species